GGUGAGGUGCCUGAGUAAAGGGCUAUUUUGAUAGAAUAGAUUAAGCAUUAAGCCCUCAUUA
rnacentral:tRNA from 1 species